rnacentral:tRNA from 1 species
GGGGUUGGGGCUCAGUGGUAGAGCGCUCGCCCGGCAUGCGUGAGGCACUGGGUUUGAUCCUCAGCACCACA